GCAGGAAGAGCCGGGGGCGGCCGGCCCCGCCCCCGGAAGCUCUCCGCCUUUGACGCCAAACUGGGCGCUGCGUGGGUGGCCGGGGCUUCCUUCCGUUUUGACAACUCGCAAGUUGUUACCUCACCUUAGUCUCCUUGAGCGCUGAGUCCGGAGGACAUCUUCGGCGUUUUUUUGCUCGAGGCCGAGAGGCCUCUCAUUUACUUGGAUACAAUCUUUGAGUGCUGCAGGAACUAAAGCCCUCACCCAGGUGGAGGAUGGUAACUACCUUCUAAGAAGCCAGACUGGUGGGAACUAGAAGGUUGAUGAUUGAGAUUCCUGGAACAUCACCCUGUUACCUCACCACCAGCCAAUCAGAAGAAAGUCAUACGCCCUACAGUCAUCACCCCCAAAUGAUGCCUUUAAAAACUAUUCUCUGAAAACUAAUGGAAAGUUUGGGUCUUUCCAGCAGGAACCACCUGUUCUUGCAUGGCCCAUGCAAUAAAACUUUGUCCCCCCAA